AUUGAACGCUGGCGGCAUGCCUUACACAUGCAAGUCGAACGGCAGCGGACCUUCGGGUGCCGGCGAGUGGCGAACGGGUGAGUAAUAUAUCGGAACGUACCUUUCAGUGGGGGAUAACGUAGCGAAAGUUACGCUAAUACCGCAUAUUCUGUGAGCAGGAAAGCAGGGGAUCGCAAGACCUUGCGCUGAAUUGAGCGGCCGAUAUCAGAUUAGCUAGUUGGUGAGGUAAAGGCUCACCAAGGCGACGAUCUGUAGCGGGUCUGAGAGGAUGAUCCGCCACAUGGAACUGAGACACGGUCCAGACUCCUACGGGAGGCAGCAGUGGGGAAUUUUGGACAAUGGCGGCAAGCUGAUCCAGCCA
rnacentral:rRNA from 1 species